rnacentral:rRNA from 1 species
GACGAACGCUGGCGGCGUGCUUAACACAUGCAAGUCGAACGGAAAGGCCCUGCUUUUGUGGGGUGCUCGAGUGGCGAACGGGUGAGUAACACGUGAGUAACCUGCCCUUGACUUUGGGAUAACUUCAGGAAACUGGGGCUAAUACCGGAUAGGAGCUCCUGCUGCAUGGUGGGGGUUGGAAAGUUUCGGCGGUUGGGGAUGGACUCGCGGCUUAUCAGCUUGUUGGUGGGGUAGUGGCUUACCAAGGCUUUGACGGGUAGCCGGCCUGAGAGGGUGACCGGCCACAUUGGGACUGAGAUACGGCCCAGACUCCUUCGGGAUGCAGCAGUGGGGAAUAUUGCACAAUGGGCGGAAGCCUUAUGCAGCAACGCCGCGUGCGGGAUGACGGCCUUCGGGUUGUAACCCGCUUUCGCCUGUGACGAAGCGUGAGUGACGGUAAUGGGUAAAGAAGCACCGGCUAACUACGUG